rnacentral:misc_RNA from 1 species
GAUGAAGAACGUAGCGAAAUGCGAUAAGUAAUGUGAAUUGCAGAAUUCAGUGAAUCAUCGAAUCUUUGAACGCACAUUGCGCCCGCUAGUAUUCUGGCGGGCAUGCCUGUCCGAGCGUCAUUUCAACCCUCAAGCCCCCGGGCUUGGUGUUGGGGAUCGGCGAGCCUCCGCGCCCGCCGUCCCCUAAAUCUAGUGGCGGUCUCGCUGUAGCUUCCUCUGCGUAGUAGCACACCUCGCACUGGGAAACAGCGCGGCCACGCCGUUAAACCCCCAACUUCUGAACGUUUGACCUCGGAUCAGGUAGGAAUACCCGCUGAACUUAAGCAUAUCAAUAAGCGGGGA